AGAGUUCGAUCCUGGCUCAGGAUGAACGCUGGCGGCGCGCCUAACACAUGCAAGUCGAACGGCACCCCUCUCCGGAGGGAAGCGAGUGGCGAACGGCUGAGUAACACGUGGAGAACCUGCCCCCUCCCCCGGGAUAGCCGCCCGAAAGGACGGGUAAUACCGGAUACCCCGGGGUGCCGCAUGGCGCCCCGGCUAAAGCCCCGACGGGAGGGGAUGGCUCCGCGGCCCAUCAGGUAGACGGCGGGGUGACGGCCCACCGUGCCGACAACGGGUAGCCGGGUUGAGAGACCGACCGGCCAGAUUGGGACUGAGACACGGCCCAGACUCCUACGGGAGGCAGCAGUGGGGAAUCUUGCGCAAUGGGGGGAACCCUGACGCAGCGACGCCGCGUGCGGGACGGAGGCCUUCGGGUCGUAAACCGCUUUCAGCAGGGAAGAGUCAAGACUGUACCUGCAGAAGAAGCCCCGGCUAACUACGUGCCAGCAGCCGCGGUAAUACGUAGGGGGCGAGCGUUAUCCGGAUUCAUUGGGCGUAAAGCGCGCGUAGGCGGCCCGGCAGGCCGGGGGUCGAAGCGGGGGGCUCAACCCCCCGAAGCCCCCGGAACCUCCGCGGCUUGGGUCCGGUAGGGGAGGGUGGAACACCCGGUGUAGCGGUGGAAUGCGCAGAUAUCGGGUGGAACACCGGUGGCGAAGGCGGCCCUCUGGGCCGAGACCGACGCUGAGGCGCGAAAGCUGGGGGAGCGAACAGGAUUAGAUACCCUGGUAGUCCCAGCCGUAAACGAUGGACGCUAGGUGUGGGGGGACGAUCCCCCCGUGCCGCAGCCAACGCAUUAAGCGUCCCGCCUGGGGAGUACGGCCGCAAGGCUAAAACUCAAAGGAAUUGACGGGGGCCCGCACAAGCAGCGGAGCAUGUGGCUUAAUUCGAAGCAACGCGAAGAACCUUACCAGGGCUUGACAUAUGGGUGAAGCGGGGGAGACCCCGUGGCCGAGAGGAGCCCAUACAGGUGGUGCAUGGCUGUCGUCAGCUCGUGUCGUGAGGUGUUGGGUUAAGUCCCGCAACGAGCGCAACCCCCGCCGCGUGUUGCCAGCAUUCAGUUGGGCACUCACGCGGGACUGCCGGCGUCAAGCCGGAGGAAGGCGGGGACGACGUCAAGUCAUCAUGCCCCUUAUGCCCUGGGCUGCACACGUGCUACAAUGGCCGGCACAACGGGUUGCCACCCCGCGAGGGGGAGCGGAUCCC
rnacentral:rRNA from 1 species